rnacentral:rRNA from 1 species
GAAAUUGAACUCGCUGUGAAGAUGCAGUGUACCCGCGGCAAGACGGAAAGACCCCGUGAACCUUUACUAUAGCUUGACACUGAACAUUGAGCCUUGAUGUGUAGGAUAGGUGGGAGGCUUUGAAGUGUGGACGCCAGUCUGCAUGGAGCCGACCUUGAAAUACCACCCUUUAAUGUUUGAUGUUCUAACGUGGAUCCGUAAUCCGGGUUGCGGACAGUGUCUGGUGGGUAGUUUGACUGGGGCGGUCUCCUCCUAAAGAGUAACGGAGGAGCACGAAGGUUGGCUAAUCCUGGUCGGACAUCAGGAGGUUAGUGCAAUGGCAUAAGCCAGCUUGACUGCGAGCGUGACGGCGCGAGCAGGUGCGAAAGCAGGUCAUAGUGAUCCGGUGGUUCUGAAUGGAAGGGCCAUCGCUCAACGGAUAAAAGGUACUCCGGGGAUAACAGGCUGAUACCGCCCAAGAGUUCAUAUCGACGGCGGUGUUUGGCACCUCGAUGUCGGCUCAUCACAUCCUGGGGCUGAAGUAGGUCCCAAGGGUAUGGCUGUUCGCCAUUUAAAGUGGUACGCGAGCUGGGUUUAGAACGUCGUGAGACAGUUCGGUCCCUAUCUGCCGUGGGCGCUGGAGAACUGAGGGGGGCUGCUCCUAGUACGAGAGGACCGGAGUGGACGCAUCACUGGUGUUCGGGUUGUCAUGCCAAUGGCACUGCCCGGUAGCUAAAUGCGGAAGAGAUAAGUGCUGAAAGCAUCUAAGCACGAAACUUGCCCCGA